CACGCGACUCAUUACGUGAUGAAAACACCCUAUGCGGAAGUAAAUAUGUGUGAACAUUCAAUGAGUGGGCAUGUGAGCGUAGAUAAGCCAAAAACAAUCAUGUUAGUCGUAUUUUUCGCCGUUUUACUGAGCAUUUUAACGUCUGAAGCUCGCUACACAGCAGACUGGACGAGUCUAGAUUCCCGACCGCUCCCCUCUUGGUUCGACGAGGCGAAGGUGGGCAUUUUUAUCCACUGGGGGGUGUUCUCCGUUCCAGGCUUUAACAGCGAGUGGUUCUGGUGGCACUGGCAAGGUCAAAAACCACCAGACCCCAAUUGUGUGGCCUUUAUGACAAAAAACUACCCACCGGGAUUCCGCUACCCCGAGUUUGCUAGUAAUUUUCAUGGUCAGUUCUUCAACCCGGAGGAGUGGGCUGAUAUAUUCAGAACUUCCGGAGCAAAGUAUGUCGUCUUGACAGCCAAACACCAUGAGGGUUUUACCAACUGGGCCUCUCCAUACUCCUGGAACUGGAAUUCUGUUGAUACCGGUCCCCACAGAGACCUUGUGGGAGAUCUGGGGGAGGCAGUGCGCAAUCGGUCACUACACUUUGGACUGUAUAACUCCUUAUAUGAGUGGUUCCACCCGCUCUACCUGACCGACAAGCAGAAUGGAUUCAAAACACAGGACUUUGUGCUGCAUAAGCUUUUACCAGAGCUUUAUAACAUGGUUGUGAGAUACAGACCUGAGGUGAUCUGGUCUGAUGGGGACUGGGAGGCACCAGACACAUACUGGAACUCCACGCAGUUCCUUGCCUGGCUCUACAAUGAUAGCCCUGUUAAAGAUACAGUUGUGACCAAUGACAGAUGGGGAGCUGGUUGUUCAUGUAAACAUGGAGGUUACUACAACUGUGAUGACAAGUAUACUCCAGGCCAGCUGCCCAAGCAUAAGUGGGAGAAAUGCACGUCUGUGGACACGUUGUCUUGGGGCUAUCGCCGUAACAUGAAGCUGAGUGACCUGAUGGACCUGCCUACUAUCAUAGAGGAUCUGGUUCAGACCGUGGCCCUGGGAGGUAACUACCUCCUCAAUGUGGGGCCCACUCCUGAUGGAAUGAUCCCAGUGGUGUUUGAGGAACGUCUGCGGGGCGUUGGUGCUUGGCUGCAAAUCAACGGCGAGGCAAUCUACUCUUCCAAUCCUUGGAGAGUCCAGAUGGAAAACACUUCGAUACCCGUGUGGUAUACUUCCAAAGGGGACAGCAUUUAUGCCACCUUGACAAGUAAACCCCACAAGCCCACUCUGCAACUUUUGGAACCCAAAACAUCAGCUGCCACUAAGGUGACGUUGUUGGGGGACCCCAAGCCUUUGUCCUGGUCGCCAGUCCAGCCAUAUGCCGGCCUUAAUAUUCUCUUACCUGAGCUGCCUUUCACACAAGGACAAGCCUGGACCCUCAAACUGGAUGGCGUACAGUAAACAGUCAACACCAGAAGGUCACCCUUUCUGCAAACUCACUUUCCUCUGGGAGUUCGUUCUCCUCCGCCUCCCUCUCCAUGUUCUGGCACCAGCCCUCCAUCCUCUCCACUUCAGUCUGCAGGAGGCGCAGGAAGAAUUCGCCGUCUCUCAUACAGGGGGAGGCUCGGCCCGAGUCGGGGAGGCUGCGGGGGCCCUCCAGGGAGGGCGUCCCUGCCCACGCCCGCUCAGACGUGAGGGGCAGUGGGGAGUGGGAACGUGGAGGAAGGUGCUGAUGCUGAUGCGACCGUGGGUCUACUGGACACGCCUCGGUGGUAUAGCCACUCUGGAUGAAGUCCUGGAAUGAGUCACUUCCUGUCGGUGUCCCAAUACUUUUGCUCAUAUAAGGUAUCUCCAUGGCAUGCACACAUACCUCUCUGUAGGCCCACUGCCCUUGUGUAUGCACAGUGCGGUGGCACUCUGUGUACUGGCCAGCUGACUCCGGCUCUGACGAGUGCCUUUGGAAGGAGCAGCCAAACUGCAGGCUCUUGUCCUGCGUUGGCACGGCAACACUGAGCCCUGGGAAGCCCUCGGGGUCCAGGUCUGCCUGCACGCUCGCCGUCACGCUGUUGGAGCGCUUGAAACGGGCCCGUCUACGACAGGGGGAAGUCAGAGCAGGCCGAGAGUCAUCCAGUUACAUGGUGCCAUUGCACGCGAAAGCCUCUUUGAAAUGCCCUUCUCCCCCUCAUCCCGAUAAUUGAAGCAGUGACCGUCGCACUGCCAUUCCAGUCAAUAGUACUCACUCACUAGUGGUAAGUCAUCUGGCAUAUGACACAUCGGCAAGUGCACGUCAGUGGACAAAGACGAGCAUUUAUGUGACACUGCCAUCUUGGCAGAGCCUUACUGAGAUAUACUGUACAAAAUAAGAAUAAUAGUGAAGACGUCCGGCCCCCAGGUCCUUAGCUUUCAGAAAAUAUGACCCCUGGAACAGUUGAAUAGCCCUGGCUUAGACUCCAGCAUGUGACACAUUAGCAAUAGGAGUGCACUUUAAUUGCAAACAAAGCAGAAGGUGUUACAGACUUCAAGCUGCGAUGUCUGAUGAAAUGUUAAAUAGAAUCCAGUGACAAAAUCAACUAAAGGUGUCUGCACCCAUGGGGGGGCCCAGACAAAAAAAGGCAUUUGUAAAUUAUGCAUUGGAAAUGAUGAAGCUCUUGAUGAAGCUACAUAUUUUUGGACUAAAUAUAGAAUUUGCACUUCUGCAAAUGUCACACAACAUAAGCAAGUGCUGACUAUAUUUACCAUACUAUUCAUUACCUUUUGUCAUCUUCCACCUGGACUCCUAUGGAGUGGACCUCUGUCAGAGCUUUGCCCUCGGCGUCUGAAUCUGAAAGAGUCUCUGAGCUGUCCACCUGCAAUACAGGACAAAAAGCACAAUAAAACCCACAGUCUAUAAAUAAAAUAACUACUCCUUCAUUGAAGUAAAGCACUUCAUCUUAUCUGCCUUUUCACCCUCGUGGUUACGUUUUUAAUCCAAUCAUAAUUCACCCAUGCCGUUGCCAGGUAAGAAGUAUUCAUCGGAGCCCCAAAGAACCAAUCAGAAUUUGAGCUGGUCAGGCGCUAGGAAGCAGGUGCUGUAUGUGUGAUUACGUCGAGAGCUAGCAACGCGACUAAAUCGUAUUUUUCGAGUUUAUUUUUUUAACGAAUUGAAUAGGAUAUAUAUAUAUAUAUAUAUAUCCCCAUAUGUGUGUGUGUGUGUGUGAAGUAUGGUGGCCUUUACAUGUUGACUUUCCCUGUGUGUACUGCUUCUGCGUAGUAGUGGACGUUGUCAGUUUAAAAUGACAUUAGUAGCAAUAUUAUUGCUAACUGUGAGCAUUAGCCUUCAUGGCAAUUACCUGAACUGCACAGACAAACAAGAUGAAUGGUGAGUACUGUACAGUUCAUGUUAUGCACACAUUUAUUAUUUAUACAUGCCAUUUGUAGUUUUAAAAAAAAUGUAGCGCUAUUUAUUCUCAUUACACGUGAUGCAGUGUGCACUCCUGUUACAUUAUUGUUAAUGUUUUUUUAAAUUGAAAUGAUGUCAUAACAACAGCAUUAAGAGGUUGAAUAAUUAAAAAGGACACCAACAAAAGACCCUGCUGGGAUGUGAUUGGCCACCAUGAGCUGUAAUAAUAAACAUGUGAUAUAUAUAACAAAAAAAGUCUGAUAUGAGUCAGCCCAAAAUUUGUGUUUGGUAUGCAUCAUAAGUAAACUCCGAACUGAGGGAAUGACAAACACAGCUGCCAGGCCAGACGGCGAUGUAAUCGCUCAUCUCAUCUCUCCGCUUGGCAAGAAAGCAACAGAAUGAUUUCCUAAAUGAAGUCUAAGCAAUGGAUGGCCUCCACUUCCUCCCGCCGCAUCCGUCAUCCUGCCCUCCAGCUUUACUCAAAACAAUGCUGUUCUGAGGCAGUGAGACUGACUUCCCCAGGCUUCCCCCGACCCGACUGUCCCUCUCCCGGGCUGGCCUCGGCGGCCCCUCCAGCAAACUGUCAGCCGAGCUGCUGUGUUUGGCCCUCACGCCAACUCCCGGGCCUCCUCCGUAGGGCACCAGCUCCCGCGAUCCCCGGAUCCCCCCAUCCAGGCUCUCUGCUGAGUUACUGUGCUGCCGGGAACGCCCUGGGCCUGUGGCCGUGUAGUAGCCCACUCUGGAGGAGCGUCCUGAUGGUCCGUCUGUGCAGCCCAGGUCCACGGAGUUACUGUGCUGCUUGGGGCGCAUGUGGCUUGCGGCGAGCUGUCCACUGCUCUGAUAGUAGGCGUCCUGGGUGGACUCUGUGCUGCUCUGGGCUCGCACGGAGAGCGAAGAUUUUGACAUGCGAGGUGGGAGCGGGGGAGGAGCACCUUUGCGAUAAGGAAAGACUGAAGUGUCAGAAGAGUGGGAGAAAGGAAGACAGAGGCAUAGUGGGCUGUUAAGAGAAAAAGGGGUAUCAUCUCAAAGGGGAGCAGGGAUGGAUACUUACAAAAGGGACAGACUGGAAGAAGAAGAGGGGAAGGAAACAUGGCGGAACAUUGAAAGGGGUUAAAAAUAGAGGGACGAAAAGGAGAAAUUAUGUAACCACUUGAUGAGAAAAAUAGAAUAAAUAAGCGUUGUUGCAUGCAUUUCAGUGAAAGACAGGAAGUGACUCUUCCCUUAAGCUAGCCAAAGUCUACCUCUUAAGAAGAUGAACAGAUUUCCUCAGAGACAUUAAAAUGACGACUGCUUCCCGCUCCCUCGUCUCCGCCUCCACCCUCACAGCUUUGUUGAACAGAUGCACACAGCACACAUCUUGCGUGGUUGCAGGUGAAGGUGGGAUUUUGUUAGGUGAGGGAGAUGACUACUGACACUUCCCAGAGGCUUUAAAUCAUCUCAGCGAAUUUGCUUAGUCUUAGCUUGGAAUUUUCAUGAGCGUGUAAACAAAUGCACUGUGCAGACCCUAAUAAAAAAGCAACCUCUAAAGUCCAACCCAGUCCGUUUCCAGAGGAAAAAUGACAAUCCAUAAUCCA